UCCUCGGUCCUGUCUGAGCACUUAGGUUCCACCUGUGGUUGCACAUUUUGUUCAUCUGAGGAUGUUCAGGUUAUGUGACCUUCAACCUGGGAGUCCGUGGCAACUGAAAAACAACUCACCAUUUUAUUGCACAAAAUUGAACCAGAAUGGGCUGGUUCUGCGGUUACACCUCCACCACCAUCCCUCCUCUUCUCACACAGGCUGGGGCUGCUGGUUUGUUUCUACAAUGACCUGGAAUUGCUGGAUGCCACUGUGGCUCAAGUCCUGCUUCACCAGAUGAUCAAGUGCAGCCACCUGAGGGGCUUCCAGGCUGGCGUCCAGAAGCUCAAAGCAGAACUCCUGGACAUUGCCGUGGAGAACCAGACCCUCAAUGAGACCCUGGGUUCUUUGUCGGAUGCAGUUGUAGGUUUGACCUACAGCCAACUGGAAUCCCUCUCCCCCGAGGCUGUGCACGGAGCCAUCUCCACCCUCAGCCAGGUCUCAGGUUGGGCCAAGAGCCAGGUCAUCAUCUUGUCUGCCAAAUACUUGGCCCAUGAGAAGGUGCUGUCUUUCUACAAUGUCAGCCAGAUGGGCGAGCUGCUGGCUGGGGUCAGCACCCAGGCCUUCUGUAGCAUGAACCGCAAGGACCUCUCGCAGGUCCUGAGAAGUGCCGUCUCCCAGUAUGUAUCCGAAUUGUCACCUGCCCAGCAGCAAGGUAUCCUCAGCAAGAUGGUCCAAGCGGAAGACACUGCCCCAGGCAUCGUGGAGAUACAAGGGGCUUUCUUUAAGGAAGUGUCUCUGUUUGAUUUAAGGAGGCAACCUGGAUUCAACUCUACAGUCCUGAAGGAUAAGGAACUUGGAAGGAGCCAGGCUCUCUUCCUGUAUGAGCUUCUGUUAAAGACCACCAGAAGGCCUGAGGAGCUUUUGAGGUAGGAAAAUGUAACUCAGCCUGGGUGCCAAACAGGCCUUUCAGAGCCUUCUGCCAGAGCAGCCUACUUUCCCAGGAGGGAGAGUUAGGCAGUCAUGUCUGUAGCUUGUAUCUGAUCAUAUCUGCCUUCUCUUGUUCUUUCUUUCCUCUCUUCCUCACCUCCUUUCUCUCCUGAGUCCCUUGUUUUGUUUUCUAGUGCUGGGCAGCUGGUCAAAGGCGUGACCUGCUCACACAUUGAUGCCAUGAGCACUGACUUCUUUCUGGCUCAUUUCCAGGAUUUUCAGAACAACUUUGCCCUGCUUUCACCCUAUCAGGUUAAUUGUUUGGCGUGGAAAUACUGGGAAGUUUCCAGGUUGUCUAUGCCACCUUUCCUCUUGGCUGCACUCCCGGCCCGCUACCUGGCUUCUGUCCCAGCCUCCCAGUGUGUGCCCUUUCUGAUCAGCCUGGGGAAGAGCUGGUUGGACUCCUUGGUUUUAGAUUCCCACAAAAAGACUUCAGUCCUCAGGAAAGUGCAGCAGUGCCUGGUUCAAGUGAUUCUCCUGCCUCAGCCUCCCAAGUAGCUGGGACUACAGGACGACUCCAUUGCUGACGAGUACACUGUGGACAUCAUGGGGAACCUGCUGUGUCACUUGCCGGCAGCCAUCAUUGACAGGGGGAUCUCCCCCAGGGCUUGGGCGACUGCUCUACACGGCCUCAGAGACUGCCCAGACCUCAACCCUGAGCAAAAGGCUGCAGUGAGGCUCAAGCUCCUGGGACAGUACGGAUUCCCUCAGCACUGGACAGCCGAGACCACGAAGGACUUGGGACCCUUUCUAGUACUUUUCUCAGGAGAUGAAUUAAGCUCUAUAGCCACAAAGUUUCCUGACAUCCUUCUACAAGCAGCUUCCAAGAUGGCCAUGACUCUGCCCCCUAAAGAAUUCCUCUGGGCUGUCUUUGAAUCUGUUCGGAACAGCAGUGAAAAGAUCCCCAGCUCUGACCCUAUACUUGGUUGCCAUGGAGUCGUGGCCCCCUCUUCUGAUGACAUCUUCAAGUUGGCUGAAGCCAACGCCUGCUGGGCCCUGGAGGACCUGCGGUGCAUGGAAGAAGACACAUUCAUCAGGACUGUGGAACUGCUGGGAGCUGUCCAGGGUUUCAGCCGGCCUCAGCUGAUGACCCUGAAGGAGAAAGCAAUACAGGUUUGGGACAUGCCAUCUUACUGGAGAGAACACCAUAUCGUUUCCCUGGGGCGCAUUGCUCUGGCUCUUAAUGAGAGUGAGCUGGAGCAGCUGGACCUCAGCUCCAUAGACACUGUGGCUUCCCUAAGCCGGCAAACAGAAUGGACCCCAGGACAGUCUGGGAGAAACAGAAAAACACAUCCAGAAACUAGGGUAUCUCCUUCCUUUCGCACCGAUUUUAAUUCUCAUGGAUGGCAGUGAGAUUUAUCAAUAUGUUUGAAGAGGAUAUGAAAACCUAACAUUUGCAUGUAUCAUUUGUAGUCAGUUCUUCAACUUUAGCUCCCAAUCAACCUUGAAUGCAUGUUUCUAGAUUAAUAGUCAGACCUGACGGAACUACAUUAACAGAUAGUUCAGCUCGAAAACCAAUAUAAGGGAAAAAACUAUUAUAGAAGCCAGAGGGAUGAACAGAGAGAUUGAAAUCUUAAAGCUAUUCAUUUUUCAACAGUUAAUAUUGCCUAAAAGUGUUGGUAUUAAUUGUCUUGGAAUCAUUACAUAUACGCUGGUCUAGUCACUCAAGGAAAUUUAUUUUAACUUAUCACCUUGCAGGCUGAGUUUGCAUUUUCCGGGUUUCAGUGGCAAGGACAAUUUAAUACCAUAUCUUCAAAGUAAUUUUAUUUAAAUUGUAUUUUUGCACUUUCAUUUUAAAGUGAGCAUGCCUGAUAGUUGAGGAGCCCAAAUUGCUCUGAGUCAACUAGUGAAACCUGAUUGUGAAGACUUAAUAAGAAAAAUUUGAAAGCUAACUUGAAUCUCCAUCUUUUCUCCAUAGCCAAACACCUUCACUGGCUAAGAGUAUUGGCCCUGGAAUCAGACUGCCUGGGUUUUGAUUCUAGAACCAUCAUUUUCUUUUUUCUUUCUUCUUUUUUUUUUUUUUUUUUUAGAAUGAGUUUUGCUCUUGUUGCCCAGGCUGGAGUGUAAUCUCCACUCACUGCAACCUCUGCCUCCCAGGAUCAAGCAAUUCUUCUGCCUCAGCCUCCUGAGUAGCUGGGAUUACAGGCAUGCACCAUCACACCCGGCUUAUUUUGUAUUUUUAGUAGAGACGGAGUUUCUCCAUGUUGGUCAGGCUGGUCUCGAACUCCCGACCUCAGGUGAUCCGCCCGCCUUGGUCUCCCAAAGUGCUGGGAUUACGGGCAGGAGCCACCGUGCCUGGCCAGAACGAUCAUUUUCUAGCUGUGUGAUCUUGGCCUAGUUACUUAACCUCUCCUUGCCUCAGUUUGCUCAUCUGCAAACGAGGGAUACUAUUAAUACUUACCUCAUAGGGUUAUUUAGGAGGAUUAGAUGAGAUAGUAUGUGUAAAGUGGUCAAAGUAGUGCCAGCACACAGUAUGCACUCAAGAAAUGUUAGCUACAAGAAAUGUUAGCUACAAUAAUGUUAGCUAUUACCACUUUGGAUAUACAGUCCCAUUAAGUCAAAGACAUAUAAGUCUAAGCAUGGUGUUACUGAAUCCCCCACCCCCAUAGUAGCUGUGAGCUUUGUAAUCAUGGAGGACAACUUGAUGAGGACACUGACCAGUCCGAUUUUCAGAAACAUGAGAAAUCUUCCUGAAGCCAGUCUAUUACAUGAAGGCAGCAAAAUGAAGCAUGUCAAAUAAUAUAUAUUGCCCAUGACUUCUGCAUUAUGCUAGGUGCUGGGGACUCAUUGGUAAACUACCUGGAUAUGGUCCUUUUCUUUUGGGAGCCUACUUGGUGAUACAGACAAAAAAGCUGAAUCCAUUUUGCAAGGGUACCUGGAUGAUUCAGGAUACAGUAUCCAGGACCUGAAGAGCUUUCAUUUGGUAGGACUUGGUGCAACCCUGUGUGCUAUAAACAUCACUGAAAUCCCACUUAUAAAGAUCUCAGAAUUCAGGGUGGUAGUGGCCAGAAUUGGGACCCUGCUCUGCGGCACACAUGUCUUGGCCGAGUUUAAGAGGAAGGCUGAAGUCGUGUUUGGGGAUCCCACUGAGUGGACCAGUUCUGUCCUGCAGGAGCUUGGGACCAUUGCAGCUGGAUUAACUAAGGCAGAGCUCCGGAUGCUUGACAAGGAUUUGAUGCCAUAUUUCCAGCCAUCAGCAAUAAAAUGCCUUCCUGAUGAGAUAUUCAAAGAGCUGUCCGCGGAGCAGAUCGCCUCCCUGGGUCCCGAGAACGCCGCGGCGGUGACCCACGCCCAGCGCCGGCGGCUCAGUCCACUGCAGCUGCAGAGCCUCCAGCAGGCGCUAGAUGGCGCCAAGACUCACUCCUGGCAGGACGCGCCCGCUAGCGCCAGUCCCACUAGGACCUCAUCCUCGCGUUCUCCCGCAGGAGCUCUCCAGUCAUUGGGUCUUUGGCUUGGUUGUCCCCUGCUGGUUCUAAUGGCCAAGCCCCUGUGGUGAGUGGCGUGAGCGCAUCGUCCUGUGUUGCCCCAAGCAGCUGGCCAACGCGUGUAGAGACAGGAUGCUUCAGAUGGUGGGACACCCUUCCCUGGAUCCAGACCCUCAUCUAGGGCAGGGAGACCCUGGGGCCUUGAUGGUGAAAAUGCACCCCAAAUGAAAAAUAAUUAUUAAAAAUGAUCUUGCAAA
rnacentral:sRNA from 1 species